UACCAGCACCCCGAGUGGUCGGGACGUUUAUUGGGCCUAAAGCAUCCGUAGCCGGUUCUACAAGUCUUCCGUUAAAUCCACCUGCUUAACAGAUGGGCUGCGGAAGAUACUAUAGAGCUAGGAGGCGGGAGAGGCAAGCGGUACUCGAUGGGUAGGGGUAAAAUCCGUUGAUCCAUUGAAGACCACCAGUGGCGAAGGCGGCUUGCCAGAACGCGCUCGACGGUGAGGGAUGAAAGCUGGGGGAGCAAACCGGAUUAGAAACCCGUA
rnacentral:rRNA from 1 species